rnacentral:rRNA from 1 species
GGUAUGCUUAACACAUGCAAGUCGAACGCGCGAGUAACCAAGCUUGCUUGGUUAUGAGUGAGUGGCAAACGGGUGAGUAACGCGUGGGGAUUUCCCCUUCAGUAAGGAAUAACCCCCGGAAACGGGAGCUAAUACCUUAUAUUCUCUAACAAGAGGAAAGAUUUAUUCGCUGAGGGAUAAACCCGCGUCAGAUUAGAUAGUUGGUGGGGUAAUGGCCUACCAAGUCGAUGAUCUGUAGCUGGUCUUAGAGGAUGAUCAGCCACACUGGAACUGAGACACGGUCCAGACUCCUACGGGAGGCAGCAGUGAGGAAUAUUGGGCAAUGGGCGGAAGCCUGACCCAGCAAUACCGCGUGAGUGAAGAAGGCCUUAGGGUUGUAGAGCUCUUUUAGUGGGGAAGAUGAUGACGGUACCCACAGAAAAAGUCCCGGCUAACUCCGUGCCAGCAGCCGCGGUAAUACGGAGGGGGCUAGCGUUAUUCGGAAUUAUUGGGCGUAAAGAGCGUGUAGGUGGUUUGGUAAGUUAGGAGUGAAAUCCCGGGGCUUAACCCCGGAACUGCUUCUAAAACUGCUGACUAGAGUGCGGUAGGGGGUAAUGGAAUUCCUAGUGUAGAGGUAAAAUUCUUAGAUAUUAGGAGGAACACCAAAGGCGAAGGCAGUUACCUGGGCCGAUACUGACACUGAGACGCGAAAGUGUGGGUAGCAAACAGGAUUAGAUACCCUGGUAGUCCACACCCUAAACGAUGAAUGCUAGAUUUCGGGGGAAUUCUCCUUCGGUUUCGCAGCUAACGCAUUAAGCAUUCCGCCUGGGGAGUACGGUCGCAAGACUAAAACUCAAAGGAAUUGACGGGGGUCCGCACAAGCGGUGGAGCAUGCGGUUUAAUUCGAUGCUACGCGAAAAACCUUACCAAUCCUUGACAUGGUAGUCGUAAGUAAUAGAGAUAUUACUGUCAAUUCGGUUGGACUGCACACAGGUGUUGCAUGGCUGUCGUCAGCUCGUGUCGUGAGAUGUUGGGUUAAGUCCCUUAACGAGCGCAACCCCUAUCCUUAUUUGCCAGCGAGUAAAGUCGGGAACUAUAAGGAAACCGCCAGCGAUAAGCUGGAGGAAGGUGGGGAUGAGGUCAAGUCAUCAUGGCCCUUAUGGAUUGGGCUACACGCGUGCUACAAUGGUGAUAACAGAGGGGAGCGAUACGGUAACGUAAAGCCGAUCCCUAACUGUCAUCUUAGUUCGGAUUGUACUCUGCAACUCGAGUACAUGAAGUUGGAAUCGCUAGUAAUCGCGGAUCAGCAUGCCGCGGUGAAUACGUUCUCGGACCUUGUACACACUGCCCGUCGCACCACGAGAGUUGGUCAUACCUUAAGUUCGUGAGCUAACGUUUGCCGCAAGGCGAGCGAGGCAGCGAACCACGGUGGGGCUAGCGAUUGGGGUGAAGUCGUAACAAGGU